rnacentral:lncRNA from 1 species
GAACGGGAAAGGUGGCCUGGCACCAACAUGUUCCUUCCGGGCGUGGAGGCCAGGGUGCUGCUGCAUCACCGGGCUCACAAACUCCGCCGGAGCUGCGUGAGGCCUGGUCCUCUGAAGUGCACUUCUUCAAGUUACUGGGAACUUGGUUUGUCCCCAAACCACCCCCCACCCCGCCUGCCUCUGCAGCUCAAGAAAGUUCAGCGCUUCCUCCUCCUCCUCACCUGCUCCCCACCCUGCCUCUCUUUCUUCUGGGGAGCACCUGCUGCCCAGCUCCCUGCCCCUUCCUGCCAUGCCCGGGCUCCCUCCUUCCCCGCUUCAUUCUCCGCGUCACAUAUUUUGUCUUCUUCAGCAUCAGUUCUGUAUGUUUCUGUUCCCAGGCAGUUUUGAUCCACGCGUGGUUUUAUUUCAUUGCCAUCAUUCCAUUCUCCAGUUCCCGCUGUCUUUCUCAUCAGCCUGACUUGCCCAUGGUGGGCAUGCGACAGUUGCUAAAAAUACCCUUCGGGCGGGCGGCUGGAGGCCCCGUUUCUCGACCCACUGAAUGGAUGAAGUGUCAGACAAAACGCCUUCUGUAUACCCAGUGUGAACAGGGCCAUGGUCCAGAGCAGGAUGCUGCCUUCUGAAUGCAGGGCUCACCUCCAGCUCAACUGUCCCCACUCCUGGUGGGUUUUGAAGACUGAUGAGUGGGAAGAGAAGGCAGUGUCAGUGCAUAGGAGGCAGACCCCGUCUUCUGGUGGGGAAAAGCAUUUUUCUAUUUUGGGACAUGAGAGAGGAGAUGA